rnacentral:rRNA from 1 species
ACUCAAAGGAAUAGACGGGGGCCCGCACAAGCAGCGGAGCAUGUGGUUUAAUUCGAAGCAACGCGAAGAACCUUACCAGGACUUGACAUCAUCUGCACGCUUAAGAGAUUAAGCCUUCCCUUCGGGGACAGAUAGACAGGUGGUGCAUGGUUGUCGUCAGCUCGUGUCGUGAGAUGUUGGGUUAAGUCCCGUAACGAGCGCAACCCCUGUAUUUAGUUGCCAUCAGGUUAAGCUGGGCACUCUAGAGAGACUGCCGUAGAUAAUACGGAGGAAGGUGGGGAUGACGUCAAAUCAUCAUGCCCCUUAUGUCCUGGGCUACACACGUGCUACAAUGGUCUGUACAACGGGAAGCGAAGGAGCGAUCUGGAGCCAAUCCCAAAAAGCAGAUCCCAGUUCGGAUUGCAGGCUGCAACUCGCCUGCAUGAAGUCGGAGUUGCUAGUAAUCGCGGAUCAGCAUGCCGCGGUGAAUGCGUUCCCGGGCCUUGCACACACCGCCCGU